rnacentral:rRNA from 1 species
UNGGAGAGGAAAGUGGAAUUCCUAGUGUAGCGGUGAAAUGCGUAGAUAUUAGGAAGAACNCCAGUGGCGAAGGCGACUUUCUGGACGAAAACUGACGCUGAGGCGCGAAAGCCNGGGGAGCGAACGGGAUUAGAUACCCCGGUAGUCCUGGCCGUAAACGAUGGGUACUAGGUGUAGGAGGUAUCGACCCCUUCUGUGCCGGAGUUAACGCAAUAAGUACCCCGCCUGGGGAGUACGACCGCAAGGUUGAAACUCAAAGGAAUUGACGGGGGCCCGCACAAGCGGUGGAGUAUGUGGUUUAAUUCGACGCAACGCGAAGAACCUUACCAGGUCUUGACAUUGAUGGACAGAACCAGAGAUGGUUCCUCUUCUUCGGAAGCCAGAAAACAGGUGGUGCACGGUUGUCGUCAGCUCGUGUCGUGAGAUGUUGGGUUAAGUCCCGCUACGAGCGCAACCCCUAUCUUAUGUUGCCAGCACGUAAAGGUGGGAACUCAUGAGAGACUGCCGCAGACAAUGCGGAGGAAGGCGGGGAUGACGUCAAAUCAUCAUGCCCCUUAUGACCUGGGCUACACACGUACUACAAUGGGAGUUAAUAGACGGAAGCGAGAUCGCGAGAUGGAGCAAACCCGAGAAACACUCUCUCAGUUCGGAUCGUAGGCUGCAACUCGCCUACGUGAAGUCGGAAUCGCUAGUAAUCGCAGGUCAGCAUACUGCGGUGAAUACGUUCCCGGGCCUUGUACACACCGCCCGUCACACCACGAAAGUCGGAAGUNUCCAAAGCCGGUGGGGUA